rnacentral:misc_RNA from 1 species
UUUCCGUAGGUGAACCUGCGGAAGGAUCAUUAUCAUGUAAUCCAGUUCCCUUGGCUGUGUUAUAUAUAUACCCACUCUGUGUACCUUCUCCUGUUGCUUCCGCUGGGUGUGUAAUUCGCCCGGCGGAAGGGUAAAAAUAACCUCUGAGUAUUGAUGAAAUCUCUGUCUGAACCGAAUAGAAAGAAAAAUGUUAAAACUUUCAGCAACGGAUCUCUUGGUUCUC